GGACUACCGGGGUAUCUAAUCCUGUUUGCUCCCCGCGCUUUCGUGCCUCAGCGUCAGGACACGGCCAGGACGCUGCCUUCGCCGUCGGUGUUCUUCCGGAUCUCUACGCAUUUCACCGCUCCACCCGGAAUUCCACGUCCCUCUCCGUGCCUCAAGACGAUCCGUCUUCACGGCCCUCUCCCAGUUGAGCCAGGAGCUUUCACCGCAAACCAAACCGCCCGCCUGCGCACCCUUUACGCCCAGUAACUCCGGACAACGCUCGCCUCCUACGUAUUACCGCGGCGGCUGGCAC
rnacentral:rRNA from 1 species